GACGAACGCUGGCGGCGUGCUUAACACAUGCAAGUCGAGCGAGAAAGCCCCUUCGGGGGUGAGUACAGCGGCGAACGGGGGAGUAACACGUGAGCAACCUACCCUAGAGAUUGGGAUAACAGUCCGAAAGGACUGCUAAUACCGAAUAAAGUGCGAUCUGCCAAGUGGAUCGCACCAAAUGGUAGCAUCGGCCUCUGCUCUGGGAUGGGCGGGCGGGGGAUUAGCUUGGUGGUGAGGUAACGGCUCACCAAGGCGACGAUCCGUAGCUGGUCUGAGAGGACGAUCAGCCACACUGGGACUGAGACACGGCCCAGACUCCUACGGGAGGCAGCAGUGGGGAAUCUUGCGCAAUGGGCGAAAGCCUGACGCAGCAACGCCGCGUGAGCGAAGACGGCCUUCGGGUUGUAAAGCUCUGUCAGGAGGGACGAAGCCACUCGGGUGAAUAGCCCAGGGGGUGACGGUACCUCCAGAGGAAGCCCCGGCUAACUACGUGCCAGCAGCCGCCGUAAUAC
rnacentral:rRNA from 1 species